rnacentral:rRNA from 1 species
AGUGAACGCUGGCGGUAGGCCUAACACAUGCAAGUCGAACGGCAGCACAGUAAGAGCUUGCUCUUACGGGUGGCGAGUGGCGGACGGGUGAGGAAUACAUCGGAAUCUACUUUUUCGUGGGGGAUAACGUAGGGAAACUUACGCUAAUACCGCAUACGACCUACGGGUGAAAGCAGGGGAUCUUCGGACCUUGCGCGAUUGAAUGAGCCGAUGGCGGAUUAGCUAGUUGGCGGGGUAAAGGCCCACCAAGGCGACGAUCCGUAGCUGGUCUGAGAGGAUGAUCCGCCACACUGGAACUGAGACACGGUCCAGACUCCUACGGGAGGCAGCAGUAGGGAAUAUUGGACAAUGGGCGCAAGCCUGAUCCAGCCAUACCGCGUGGGUGAAGAAGGCCUUCGGGUUGUAAAGCCCUUUUGUUGGGAAAGAAAAGCAGCAGGUUAAUACCCCGCUGUUCUGACGGUACCCAAAGAAUAAGCACCGGCUAACUUCGUG